GAGGAUGAUCUCAUUUGUCGUUACUUUAACAGGUGUGUAGGUAACUGCAGUAGGAUGAGCUCAUUUGUUGUUACUUUAACAGGUGCGUAGGUAACUGCAGUAGGAUGAGCUCAUUUGUUGUUACUUUAACAGGUGCGUAGGUAACUGCAGAGGAUGAGCUCAUUUGUUGUUACUUUAACAGGUGUGUAGGUAACUGCAGUAGGAUGAGCUCAUUUGUUGUUACUUUAACAGGUGCGUAGGUAACUGCAGAGGAUGAGCUCAUUUGUCGUUACUUUAACAGGUGUGUAGGUAACUGCAGUAGGAUGAGCUCAUUUGUUGUUACUUUAACAGGUGCGUAGGUAACUGCAGUAGGAUGAGCUCAUUUGUUGUUACUUUAACAGGUGCGUAGGUAACUGCAGAGGAUGAGCUCAUUUGUCGUUACUUUAACAGGUGUGUAGGUAACUGCAGUAGGAUGAGCUCAUUUGUUGUUACUUUAACAGGUGUGUAGGUAACUGCAGAGGAUGAGCUCAUUUGUCGUUACUUUAACAGGUGCGUAGGUAACUGCAGAGGAUGAGCUCAUUUGUCGUUACUUUAACAGGUGCGUAGGUAACUGCAGAGGAUGAGCUCAUUUGUCGUUACUUUAACAGGUGUGUAGGUAACUGCAGAGGAUGAGCUCAUUUGUCGUUACUUUAACAGGUACGUAGGUAACUGCAGUAGGAUGAGCU